GUCCCCGUAGCUCAGUCGGUAGAGCAACUGACUUUUAAUCAGUGGGUCGGACGUUCGAUUCGUCUCGGGGACACCA
rnacentral:tRNA from 1 species